GGAGAGAUGGCCGAGCUGGCUGAAGGCGCUCGCCUGCUAAGCGAGUAGAGGACGAAAGUUCUCUCGAGGGUUCGAAUCCCUCUCUCUCCGCCA
rnacentral:tRNA from 1 species